GAUGAACGCUAGCGGCAGGCUUAAUACAUGCAAGUCGAGGGGCAGCAUGUCCCGCAGCAAUGCGGGAUGAUGGCGACCGGCAAACGGGUGCGGAACACGUACAGAACCUUCCUUCGAGCGGGGAAUAGCCCAGAGAAAUUUGGAUUAAUACCCCAUAGUAAAUUGAAAAGGCAUCUUUUUAAUUUUAAAGAUUUAUCACUUGAAGAUGGCUGUGCGGCUGAUUAGGUAGUUGGCGGGGUAACGGCCCACCAAGCCUGCGAUCAGUAACUGGUGUGAGAGCACGACCAGUCACACGGGCACUGAGACACGGGCCCGACUCCUACGGGAGGCAGCAGUAAGGAAUAUUGGGCAAUGGAUGCAAGUCUGACCCAGCCAUGCCGCGUGGAGGAUGAAGGUCCUCUGGAUUGUAAACUUCUUUUAUAUGGGACGAAAAAAGGGCUUUCUAGCUCACUUGACGGUACCAUAUGAAUAAGCACCGGCUAACUCCGUGCCAGCAGCCGCGGUAAUAC
rnacentral:rRNA from 1 species